AUUACUAUGAAAAAUGAUUGAUAACUCUUUUGAUUAACUAAAUUGCUAGCUAUCUACAUCAUAUUUUUAAGUUGUUAGAAGAGACGAAUUAUACUGAAGUGAUCACAUUUGUGAAAAUAUAUAUAUAAUAGAUGUGCUUAAUGCUUCCUUGUGAUUAAUUCAAGUGUGUUAAGAUGUUACUUUUAUUGCUUAGUUUUGGAGGCAUUAAAAUGUGCUAUGAAAUGGCUGUUUGUUAUUUUGAUUGGUUAACAAAUUGUUUGAAUGGCUGAACGCAUGUUAGUUGAUAAUAAUUUUAAAUGGUGCAAGUGAUUGACAUAGAUGGAUAAUCUAUGUUUAAAGUGUUAACAAAUCAUAAUAGAAUGAGUAGCUAAGGGAAACAUGAGAAAGGGAAAGUUUUAGAGACCUUUAGAAAUAUAAAGAUAAAGUUUUAUCCAAGAUGACCAACCACUUUAAGAGAGGAGAGUGCUUGAGUGGGGGUUAUAGGGAGAUUUAGUUAGUUAUGGGUUAACCAUAACCCUAGUUUUAACUGACCUUAUAUAUGUACUUGUAAUGUCAAGAUUUAAUUGGUGUCCUAGCUUAUUAAGAAGAAACCUGGAGCACGGUACCUGCACAAGAGAGCAGACAAAAGGGCCCAGUUGAUCCAAGGGAAAAAAGAAGCUGGUGGGAGCUUCGCUAAGCUAAGGUGGAAGAGAAGAAGGAUUUAAACAACUAAUUGGUCAAUGUGAAAAAUUAAUAUAUUAUGUGUUUAUAUUUUUCCCUAUUUUUGAAGCAUGUAAACUGUACGGCUAUAAUUGUACGUACCUCCAUAAGGAGGAGUAGCUAGGGUUAGUUCUUGCAUAGCUGUGGGUUUAGUUUGUGUAUGUGUAUAGAUAUUGAUAUUAUAUAUGCGUGAUGAUAUGAAUGAUUUAGUUAUUUCCUAUGUAA